CAGCCGACAGGGAGAGCUCUAGCCUCCCAUAGCUAGGUUGAGACUGGCUCCCCGUCUCUGUUGAAGCUUGUCCUACUUUCUGGCCCACUAAAUGUUUGAUUGUCAACAUCAACCAGUGAGCAACCCUGCAGCCUGUUCAGCACACACCUGGGAUGCACAGCAGGUGGAAACCUGGUUAGUCCUGCUGUGAACGGGAAAACCUGAAACUAUGACAAUUUUUACAGACUUAGAAAAUUUUUUGUCUUGUGAGGGUGCAUUUGUAGGUGUCCCUUUUUCUGUGGUGGCACCGGGCAAUUAUAUUUUACUACUUGGAUAAAGGAAACAUUUAUCACAGCUUCUGUUUGUGAGUGGCCUUGAGAUGAACGAGCAAGUAGUACAGUUUCAUAUAAACAGGAAGACGUUGCUGAUGGGCCAUGCAUGUGGUCGGGUUAUUUAGUUAUGCAUGCACAAACCCACAAGUUUCUCUCUAUACGACUGACUGCAUCUGACUUUCCAACCCUGACAGGUAUUGCUCACACAGAUUGCUAGCGUCUAGAAGCAAAAUGAGGAUUCUGCCCUGAGCUUAUGUCCCAUUUCUCUUGUGAAAAUCUGAAGAGGAGUCGUUCCGUUUGGUGCAGUUAAGCUCAGACUGGCUUGACAAUGUCCGCCUUUACGGAAUAAGCAUGUAGGAGAACCAAAGGUUGUUUGCAGGCUACCCCCUUGAGAUCUGCAGGGUUCCCUCAGCAUCCUUUGAUGCUGCUGGAGGUGAAGGUAGAACGAGCUCGGCCUUUCAGAAAGGCACAGGACAGACAUGUUUUUGGAAACCCACUGAUCUCCUGGGCUUUUACUGCUUGUCCAUGUCUCAUUCUUCAAGAGGAUUUAAUUAUGAGAGGACAUCGUGUGUGCUGCCUGGCUCCCAGCUCCUGAGGCUCCGCUGGGGCUACAAGCACAGGGCUCUGACCCAGAAGUGUUGCUUUCCUCACUGAGACUCUACACAUUCCUACCAGCUGCCCUGCUCUUCAGAUGCUGCACAUCCUACUUCUCUUCUACAGUCUGCUAUGCUCUUAGAAGCCUUGUACCAAGCCAAGAUUCACUGUGGCAGAGAAACCAUUCCCUCCUAAUACGAGAAGCCAGUGAGCGUUUCUGCAACAGCUCUAGCAGAAGCGAUUGCCAAGUAUGCUUGGACCCCAUACAGCACAAUCAGGUCUCAAUUAAACCACUCACGUGGUGGUUGGGAGGAAAGGCAAACAAUACUCUGAUGGAGUCAGACAACACGGAGUGAUUUUUUGCAUCAUGGAGGACAUGAGUUCCGUGUCAGUGCCAGCUGUGUCUGGAAGCACAAAUACGUGUUACCUCUCUAAAAUGGCAAUUGGUAUUGGAGGCUUGCCUGUACCGUAGGGCCCCCCCCCCCCCCCAGGAAUUCCUGUUCUGCCACAGAGGUGUGACAGGGGUACCUUUUGCAGUGGUGAGCACCUUGAGCAGGAGGGGAGACUGCCUUGCACUGGAUUCUUUGUCCUAGGAGACAGGCUGUCAUCUUCUGAGAAGACGCAUAAAGAGCAUCUGCAGAAAGCGACUCUUCUCUGCUGGAAACUGAAGAAACACAAACGCGACAUGAACCUGUGUGAUGUGUGACUGACCAGUAUCCCCAGUACCUCUGAGAUGCCAGCCAGGAGGCAGCAGCACUGGCAACGGAUGCGAUGUCCCCGAAUUGCCUUGGGUUCAAGUGACCCUUUGAGGUGGCGGGGCUGGUGCAGGGAAGGAAGGUGUGAUUGGUGAGACAGGGCUGCUGCUCUGCUUAAAGCUUCCGACUGCAGUUGCUGCAAGCAGAUGAGGAAGUGUUAACGGCACACCCUGAGUUGAGCCCCAACCAUGCAGCCCCUCCAGCGCGCCCACCUGCUCCUCCUGCUCACCCUGCUCAUCCUCUGCAUGCCCUUUGGCCAGAUGGACAACCUGGACACCAAGGACCCCAAGCCCGUGACCACCCUCCCCAGCAAUCAAAGCAUCUCCCAGAGCAGCCUGAGCCCCCCGUGGGGCAGCCCAUCCCUCUUCUCCCUCACCCUGGGGCUGGCUGCAGCUUUCUUCCUGGGGCUGCGCUGACCAGAGCGGGCCACCGUGCACCCCACCCUCCCUGACCCCCUCAAGAAGACACCCCCAGGAUGGCACCCCCUGCACCUGCACAUCCUUGGACCCUCGCAGCGUGGAGCUGCCAUCCCUGCCUCCCUCCCCUCAGUGCUCCAGCCUCAAAACAAAACCCCGAAGCUGCCCCAGCUGGAAGUGAAGCCCUGGGGCCGGCUCGGGAGCGGGGCUGCUGCGAGGCUCUGAGAAAUAAAGCACUGGUGUAGAG